rnacentral:rRNA from 1 species
GAUGAACGCUGGCGGCGUGCCUAACACAUGCAAGUCGAGCGGCAGCGAGGGGUGCUUGCACCCUGUCGGCGAGCGGCGGACGGCUGAGUAACGCGUGGGAACGUGCCCCAAAGUGAGGAAUAACUGCCCGAAAGGGUAGCUAAUACCGCAUAUUAUCCUCGGAUCAAAGGAUUUAUCCGCUUUGGGAGCGGCUCGCGUCGGAUUAGGUAGUUGGUGAGGUAAUGGCUCACCAAGCCGACGAUCCGUAGCUGGUCUGAGAGGAUGACCAGCCAGACUGGAACUGAGACACGUUCCAGACUCCUACGGGAGGCAGCAGUGAGGAAUCUUCCACAAUGGGCGAAAGCCUGAUGGGGCAACGCCGCGUGCAGGACGAAGGCCUUCGGGUUGUAAACUGCUUUUAUAGGUGAGGAAUAUGACGGUAACUUAUGAAUAAGGAUCGGCUAACUACGUG